rnacentral:lncRNA from 1 species
CUUCAGACACGAUCGCUGAUUAGAUUAACGCUCCUCCCUUGGCAACGCCCGGGAGGGCGGAGAGUGAUUAUAAGCGAGUUUGGAGGGUGAUGGUUAAUGGAAAUCGUCCCGGCAGCUGGUCCGGGUGGAGGGAGGCCUGGCCAUCCGAAUGCCUUUCUCGGUUGUGUUUUCCAUGGAGGACGCGUGGGGGAGGCGGGCGGCUCCUGCAGGGGCUGGGGCUGCGGCUGCUGCAGGAGGUCAGCUCACUCGGGACGCCCCCGCCUCACACAUCCCCCUACCCCACGCAAGGAAGCUCCCCGAAGCUGCAGGGUGGACAGAGCGGUCACGCACCAUCCUGGAACAAGGGACAGACGUCACAUAUGACAGGAAUGCGCCCUGUGCUCCAGUCACGGGUCACUUAGCUGGUACAGCAGGUGGGUGGUCACGAGGUCUCAGCCGUCCCCAGCUUCUGGAAGCCCCCGGAAGGCUCCUCCUAGGCUCUGCUCACGGCUCCCUCCUCAUCCUCCUCUGCCCGCUUCACACCCCAGAGGAGCCGCUCCCAGCAGAACCUGCAGAAAGCAGGAGUUCAACGCUCUUGCUGGGCUUUCUGGACGAGGCAGGGAGAAUGUCUACAGGCAGAGGCAAGGGAGAGGCACCCAGCCUGAGCAAAGGCCCGAAGCAGGAAGGAGGUGCAGCAGCCCAGAUGGAGUCAAAUCACAGAGGACUGGGCGCCUGGAGGCACCUGGAGGGGCUUGGAGGGGCUGCUUGAGCCCAGCUUCCGUGGGCCUCGACUGCCAGACCAGGGCAGCCCUGGAGGAUUUCGAGGGUUUGCACGUGUUCAGAGCUGUGUUAGAAGCUUCCAGACGCCAUUUCAGAUCAACCAGCUGGCGUGACACCCCUCUGUGGCUGGGCCUGUGCUGGGUCCUGGGGACCCAGGCUGGAGCCUGCCCUCGAGAGGCCCAGCUCCUGCGUGGAGGCAGGAAAAUCAGCAUCAUGUUCUCCGUGCCAUGAUGGGGAAGUCUGGGGUUACUCU